GCGCCGGGAGCCGGCUGCCAGGGCUGUGCCCGCACGCCGGAGGGCCAGCGCGGGCGGGAGCUGUGGCUUUAGGGCGCACGGUCCCGACCUUACCGAGACCGGCGUUGGGGGCAGGCGGAACCGGGAAGAGGCUUCACUGUGUCGGGUGCGGGGUGCCGGGAGCCUCAGCGACCUUUGUCUCCUGCCUGUCUCCUGCACUGGAGUGUGACCCAGGGCGCUGCAGCUGAGCGCGCGCGCGCGCGCGCGCGUGUGUAUGUCUGUGACUGUUGUGUGACUUUUGUGAUCAUUAUAUUUGGAUUGUGCUGAGAAAGAGAAACUAAUUUGUAGGGGACAUAAUGAGUGUAUGUUCAGGACAGACAAAGACAUCCUGGUGGCAUUGGGCUUUGGUCUUUGAAGGAUGUCUAAGAGUUCAUGAGUCCAGACGGAAUGUUCAUGAGACCAGAAGGAAAGACCCUGGGAAUCCUGCCUACCAGCCAACAGAGGCACCGGGGGAAAUCCUGACUCUCCAAGAAACAGAAGCCAGCCUAUCUAAAGGAUACAGUCAUGAAGAUGGCAGAAGAAGCUCUGAAGAGGCUGGCAGGGGAGGGAAGUCCGUGCUCAGAAGCAGGGUGCAGGCAGGCAGAGCUUGUCAGGCCCAGUGAGGCUCUUCCUGACUCAUCCAACCCUGCAGCGAGGUAGGCAGGAUCCCUCCCCCUGCCCUGGGCUCUUGGUAAAACACAGGAUCAGACUAUCCCGCCGGACCCCUUUCUUGUGUCUCCUUGGACCACCAAUUACUGUUUCAACUGGGCAGUUGAGUUUCUGGGAAGGACAGAGACCCAGGAAGUUCCACAAUAGCUGCUAUUUACCAAGUCUGUAUGGGUGCCAUCCUGGGAACUUUACAUGAUUUAAAUACAAGAGCAAUGGAAUAGACGGGAUACUUUAUUCCUAUUUCACCUUACUUUUUCUACUAUGUCUUCCCUCUGCCCUGCUUUCCUUACUUAAUGUUGAAAACAUAAAUAAAAUAAAAUAAAAUAAAUCUCUAUUUUGUCAAAUUUCAAAUGUAAUACAUGGUCCCUGUAAAACACAAUGUGGACCGGGCCCCAUGGCACAGGCCUGUAAUCUCAACACUUUGGGA